UACAUCCAGGUUUGCCCCAUGCUUGAGGAAUCUGGGUUUGGUGCCACUACUUCCAAGGUUGUCAGACAGCAGCUAGAUGGUGAUUUUAGGAAGCAGCUCCCCCCAAAAUGUGGUGCUUUCACCCUCGGGCUGUGCUGCAGUGGCCUCCUGACCCCUGGGGAUGUACACCCUGGGGAUGGGGGCAGUCUUGCUGCUUGUGAAAAGCUUUCUUCUACACACCUUACCCACUCGCAUCCCUUCUGCUCGUGGAGUGUCUGGUAGGGAUAGAGAAUGCUGCUGCUGCAAGGUGUUGAGGGCCCCCAGACAGAGCCAGCAACACCUGGUGCCUCUCCUACCUCCAGAACCAAGGCUACUGCUUUGUUUCAGCGCCUCAGCUGGGCUGGCCAGCAGAGAGAAACGUCCCAGCAGGGCAGAGACCCCGGGACAGUGCACAAUGAAGACUCAGGAGCCUUCAUCGCAGAGCUUGUGCUUACAAACCUGUCUGCAAAAGCUGAAACGUGGGAAUUCCUGACCGGGAAGCGGGAGGGGGCUGCCAGUUCCUAUCAGCCACCAGCCGUCGGGGCAUGUGCAGAAAAUGCUGAUUUCCUCCAGGACCUUCGCACAUCAGCCUGGGUGAAGCAGCUCAUUAAAAGCAACUAAUUGCUGCA